CAGCCUGGACCCACCUGCCCUUCCCCCCUCCCUAGUGAUGCGAAAGGGGCAGUAGCAGGGACAGGCAGGGGGCGCCCGGCACAGUCACUCCAGAGACCCUCGGCCCUGCGCCUCUUAAAGAGACAGUGACAGAGGUUAGAACAAUUGGCCGGUCCAGACCUCCGCUCAACCUCCGCUAGGGAGCAGCAUCGCGCGCAGGGCGCUGCUGGGUGCCACUGUUGUGUGUGUUGCAGGGGCUAGAGAGAGAGACUGCGCGUGCACACACAGAUGGGGACACACGCAGUAAGAUGGGCACACACACUCGGAUCCAGAGGAGGACACACACACACACAGAUAUAGGCAGGCGCGCACACACACACACACACAAAGGUACGAAUAAACACACACACACUUUCCCACCCUAGCUCCGGAUCCCCAGUUCAAACAGAAGCGGCCUCACCCCCCGGCACUUCAUUUCCCCCCAGAAGUCGAAUCGGUGGCGGCGGUUCAUUGUCUUUCCCCAGUGGUUACAGAAAUGGGGGGAUCUCUGUGGCUGUGUCUCUGCGCGCUGCCGCUGUUCCCAGGUUCGGUGGCGGGGAACUCGCUAAUCCAGAUCCCGCCUUCCCUGCCAGCCACGGAAGGGCAGCGAGUGGAGAUCAGGUGUCAAUACAGCACCUCCUACACCAGCUAUGCCCUGGACUGGUACCAGGAGCAGCUGGGGCAGCAGCCUCGCUUCCUAAUCGGGAGGUUUUCCUACGGCUCGGAGCGCAAAUCCGAUUCUGUGGCACCUCGGUUCUCCGUGCGGCUGGACACGGGAGCGAAGACUUUCAAGCUAACCAUAGAGGGGGCGCAGCGGGCUGACUCGGCGGUGUAUUUCUGUGCUCUCUGGGAGCCACCGUGCUGCAGAGCGCACCGCGAUCCGGACACAAACUGCCGCGGGGGCGCAGGUGUCUGAAAGGCGGUUCAGUGCAGUUCCAGCUCAGCCCAAGUCUGCACGUGGAGAGACACUUCCGAGCUCCUGGAAAAGCGGUUUUGGAGGACGCAGGCUCCACUGAGGAGAUGAGAGGCGUGGCAGACGA